rnacentral:rRNA from 1 species
UACGAAGGGGGCUAGCGUUGCUCGGAAUUACUGGGCGUAAAGGGAGCGUAGGCGGACAGCUAAGUCAGAGGUGAAAGCCCAGGGCUCAACCCUGGAAUUGCCUUUGAUACUGGCUAUCUUGAGUAUGGGAGAGGUGUGUGGAACUCCGAGUGUAGAGGUGAAAUUCGUAGAUAUUAGGAAGAACACCAGUGGCGAAGGCGGCUCACUGGCCCGGUACUGACGCUCAUGUGCGAAAGCGUGGGGAGCAAACAGG